ACAAGUAAACUAAAAUAAGAGAAAAUUAAAAAAAUAAAAGAAAAGAGAAAAAUAAAAAAAUCACGUGCGGCAGCGAGGCCACCCAAUUUAUGUCAUGUCUGCGCCAGAACAUCUCCAUUUCGAAUUCCUCUCUCUCCUUCUGAAACUGAAUUUGGAGAGAUUUGUCUCCUAAACUCGAAGCCAAAACCUUGUUCUCAUCUCUUAGCGCUCCCGCGAUACCCGUAUCCGAGUUGUUUAAUUGCUACAGCAUAU
rnacentral:lncRNA from 1 species